rnacentral:lncRNA from 1 species
CAGAAGGCAGCGGGAGAGACAACGAAUACCGUCCUACGGGCAUCAGAUGUGAAUGAUCUUCAUCAUCAUGUCAUGACCCUUCAUCAAUUGGCAACAGCCUUCCAUGAAACAGGUUCACCUGUCGCAGCCCACAGUCACGUCUGACCUGGAUGCAUGAGCAAGAUAACAUUCACAUCUGCAACGUCAAGAGAGAGGGGCACAAGGAAGCCUGACAUUAAUGAUUAACGGCGCUAAAAGCCCCUGCUUUUGUAUUCCCAUGGAGUCUGGUGCAUCUGUGAUCAUGUGACCUGAAAAGAGGAGAUUGGGGGAGUGAGCGCUAAAGCAAACACAGGUGUUUGGGCUGCUGCUGUUAGGGACAACUGCAAACACAGUCCACCAUACUCACCCACAACCUCACUACAGCCAAUCACAGACACAGACAGCCCUGCCUGACAUUUCACUUGACAAUUAAGACUUUUUGAUUGCCUAAUAAAGUUUCAGUACA